CGGGGUGUGGCCCAGCUCGGUUUAAGGCGUCUGGUUUGGGACCAGAAGAUCGAGAGUUCGAAUCUCUCCACCCCGA
rnacentral:tRNA from 2 species